rnacentral:rRNA from 1 species
AAAAAAAUCUUUCAUAUAAAAGGUUCAAUUUGAGAUACAAUACAAUAUUUAAACAUUGACUAUGCCCGGGCGACUAUUUACAAAAUACAUAGAUCUCCGCAGAGUCGCAAGACCAUGUAUGGGGGCUGACACUUGCCCAGUUCCUAAAAGUUAAGGAAGUUGGUGACUUGAAGACAGGUGAGCCGACAACCAAAGCCCCAAUGAACAGCAACCGUAACUAUAAUGGUCCUAAGAUAGUGAAAUUUUUUGUCAGAUAAUUUCUGACUAGCACGAAAGGUGUAACAAUCUAGACACUA